rnacentral:rRNA from 1 species
UACGUAGGUGGCAAGCGUUGUCCGGAUUUAUUGGGCGUAAAGCGAGCGCAGGCGGUUCCUUAAGUCUGAUGUGAAAGCCCACGGCUCAACCGUGGAAGGUCAUUGGAAACUGGGGAACUUGAGUGCAGAAGAGGAGAGUGGAAUUCCAUGUGUAGCGGUGAAAUGCGUAGAUAUAUGGAGGAACACCAGUGGCGAAGGCGACUCUCUGGUCUGUAACUGACGCUGAGGCUCGAAAGCGUGGGGAUCAAACAGGAUUAGA